UGGGCCUUCUGCACCUUUACAGGGUCUUGC
rnacentral:piRNA from 1 species